GGCCCUAUAGCUCAAUGGUAGAGCAGCGGACUUUUAAUCCGUUGGUUGUAGGUUCGAGUCCUACUAGGGUCACAA
rnacentral:tRNA from 1 species